rnacentral:rRNA from 1 species
AGCAACAUCUAUAAGAUUAAGAAUUUCGCAGAUACUGAAUCUAAGCAUGGCUCACUGAUGCUGAGCAGGGCUGAACAUGGUUAGUACCUGAAUGGGAGAUCCCAUGGGAAAACUAGGUUGUUGUUU